UACGGAGGGUGCAAGCGUUAUCCGGAUUCACUGGGUUUAAAGGGUGCGUAGGUGGGUUGGUAAGUCAGUGGUGAAAUCUCCGUGCUUAACAUGGAAACUGCCAUUGAUACUACUGAUCUUGAAUUUUCGGGAGGUAAGCGGAAUAUGUCAUGUAGCGGUGAAAUGCCUAGAUAUGACAUAGAACACCAAUUGCGAAAGGCAGCUUACUACAGGAAUAUUGACACUGAUGCACGAAAGCGUGGGGAUCAAACAGG
rnacentral:rRNA from 1 species